AACGUGCAGUCGAACGAACUCUGGUAUUGAUUGGUGCUUGCAUCAUGAUUUACAUUUGAGUGAGUGGCGAACUGGUGAGUAACACGUGGGAAACCUGCCCAGAAGCGGGGGAUAACACCUGGAAACAGAUGCUAAUACCGCAUAACAACUUGGACCGCAUGGUCCGAGUUUGAAAGAUGGCUUCGGCUAUCACUUUUGGAUGGUCCCGCGGCGUAUUAGCUAGAUGGUGGGGUAACGGCUCACCAUGGCAAUGAUACGUAGCCGACCUGAGAGGGUAAUCGGCCACAUUGGGACUGAGACACGGCCCAAACUCCUACGGGAGGCAGCAGUAGGGAAUCUUCCACAAUGGACGAAAGUCUGAUGGAGCAACGCCGCGUGAGUGAAGAAGGGUUUCGGCUCGUAAAACUCUGUUGUUAAAGAAGAACAUAUCUGAGAGUAACUGUUCAGGUAUUGACGGUAUUUAACCAGAAAGCCACGGCUAACUACGUGCCAGCAGCCGCGGUAAUACGUAGGUGGCAAGCGUUGUCCGGAUUUAUUGGGCGUAAAGCGAGCGCAGGCGGUUUUUUAAGUCUGAUGUGAAAGCCUUCGGCUCAACCGAAGAAGUGCAUCGGAAACUGGGAAACUUGAGUGCAGAAGAGGACAGUGGAACUCCAUGUGUAGCGGUGAAAUGCGUAGAUAUAUGGAAGAACACCAGUGGCGAAGGCGGCUGUCUGGUCUGUAACUGACGCUGAGGCUCGAAAGUAUGGGUAGCAAACAGGAUUAGAUACCCUGGUAGUCCAUACCGUAAACGAUGAAUGCUAAGUGUUGGAGGGUUUCCGCCCUUCAGUGCUGCAGCUAACGCAUUAAGCAUUCCG
rnacentral:rRNA from 2 species